UAUAAACAAAGACAGAAUUAAAUAAAAAUUAAAGUCUGGUGAACCAAAGGCAACUUAUUGAUAAAAACAUCGCCUUUUUCUCUUCUUUUUUUAUAUCCCUACAUUUUCUAGAGAUCUGCACCCUUCCUAGCAACACCUUAGGGAGUUCUAGUACAACUCUCAAAC
rnacentral:ribozyme from 14 species